CUGAAAAGGCUCUCUUGACAACGUUCGGACGUUUGUAGCUUGUGAAGUCCACUUGCCCCUGGAAUCGGGUAUAAAAGACAAGACUUUCUUGAGCACAAGGUUCCUCGGAACACACGAGGCUUGAUCUUCUUGUCGAAUGCUUUUUCACUCUCUGCUGAUAUGACUGACCAUGACACACGAGGCUUGAUCUUCUUGUCGAAUGCUUUUUCACUCUCUGCUGAUAUGACUGACCAUGACACAUGGCAGUUGAUCUCUUCCUUUCGAUCGAAUUCAGCAUCAGCCAACUUGGGACUUUGAGGGUGCUUUUGUUCUUUUGUUUCUUUCUUUUUCUUUCUUUUGAUUUCUUUUGAUUUUGAUUGAUUUCUUUUUUUGAUUUUGCACCCUCCUCUUUCUCUUUUUUCUCUUUUUUUCUUCCUUUUUGUUUUUGAUAAUGCCCCAGUUGGCUGUUCUGCUGAUUCUCGAGAUGCAGCUGAGUGAUCUUCUUCUCUUGCUCAAGAAGUCGGGAAAUCUCGUCAGGAAUC
rnacentral:lncRNA from 1 species